UACGGAGGGAGCUAGCGUUGUUCGGAAUUACUGGGCGUAAAGCGCACGUAGGCGGCUUUGUAAGUUAGAGGUGAAAGCCCGGGGCUCAACUCCGGAACUGCCUUUAAGACUGCAUCGCUUGAAUCCAGGAGAGGUGAGUGGAAUUCCGAGUGUAGAGGUGAAAUUCGUAGAUAUUCGGAAGAACACCAGUGGCGAAGGCGGGUCUCUGGGCCGAUACUGACGCUGAGGAGCGAAAGCGUGGGGAGCGAACAGG
rnacentral:rRNA from 1 species